GAUGAACGCUGGCGGCGUGCCUAAUACAUGCGAGUAGAACGCUGAAAGAGGAGCUUGCUCUUCUGGAUGAGUUGCGAACGGGUGAGUAACGCGUAGGUAACCUGCCUGGUAGCGGGGGAUAACUAUUGGAAACGAUAGCUAAUACCGCAUGACAACAGUUAUUGCAUGAUAACUGUUUAAAAGGGGCAACUGCUCCACUACCAGAUGGACCUGCGUUGUAUUAGCUAGUUGGUGAGGUAACGGCUCACCAAGGCGACGAUACAUAGCCGACCUGAGAGGGUGAUCGGCCACACUGGGACUGAGACACGGCCCAGACUCCUACGGGAGGCAGCAGUAGGGAAUCUUCGGCAAUGGACGGAAGUCUGACCGAGCAACGCCGCGUGAGUGAAGAAGGUUUUCGGAUCGUAAAGCUCUGUUGUAAGAGAAGAACGAGUGUGAGAGUGGAAAGUUCACACUGUGACGGUAUCUUACCAGAAAGGGACGGCUAACUACGUG
rnacentral:rRNA from 1 species